rnacentral:rRNA from 1 species
AGAGUUUGAUCCUGGCUCAGAUUGAACGCUGGCGGCAUGCUUUACACAUGCAAGUCGAACGCGAAAGCGGGGCAACCCGCAAGUAGAGUGGCGAACGGGUGAGUAAUACAUCGGAACAUGUCCAGUAGCGGGGGAUAACCUGUCGAAAGAUAGGCUAAUACCGCAUACGAUCUACGGAUGAAAGCAGGGGACCGCAAGGCCUUGCACUAUUGGAGUGGCCGAUGUCGGAUUAGCUAGUUGGUGAGGUAAAGGCUUACCAAGGCGACGAUCCGUAGCUGGUCUGAGAGGACGAUCAGCCACACUGGAACUGAGACACGGUCCAGACUCCUACGGGAGGCAGCAGUGGGGAAUUUUGGACAAUGGGCGCAAGCCUGAUCCAGCCAUGCCGCGUGAGUGAAGAAGGCCUUCGGGUUGUAAAGCUCUUUCGGCGGGGACGAAACGGUUCGCACCAAUACUGCGGACUAAUGACGGUACCCGCAUAAGAAGCACCGGCUAACUACGUGCCAGCAGCCGCGGUAAUACGUAGGGUGCAGGCGUUAAUCGGAAUUACUGGGCGUAAAGCGUGCGCAGGCGGUCUGUUAAGACAGGUGUGAAAUCCCCGAGCUCAACUUGGGAAUUGCGCUUGUAACUGGCAGGCUAGAGUGUGGCAGAGGGGGGUGGAAUUCCAGGUGUAGCAGUGAAAUGCGUAGAUAUCUGGAGGAACACCGAUGGCGAAGGCAGCCCCCUGGGUUAACACUGACGCUCAGCACGAAAGCGUGGGGAGCAAACAGGAUUAGAUACCCUGGUAGUCCACGCCCUAA